rnacentral:rRNA from 1 species
AGUGAAUAGAUACCCGGGUAGUCCUAGCCCUAAACGAUGAUUACUUGGUGGUAGCGAGUACAUACUCAUUACCGCCGUAGCCAAACGCGUUAAGUAAUCCACCUGGGGACUACGGCCGCAAGGUUGAAACUCAAAGGAAUUGACGGGAGCCCGCACAAGCAGCGAGGCAUGUGGUUUAAUUCGAUGCUACACGAAGAACCUUACCUGGGCUUGACAUGUUGCGGAAAGCUGUAUGAAAGUACGGCCCUUGUUAUAGUAAUAUAACAACCACAGCACAGGUGGUGCAUGGUUGUCGUCAGCUCGUGUCGUGAGAUGUAAGGUUAAGUCCUUAAACGAGCGCAACCCCUGCCACUAGUUGCCACCAGUUCGGCUGAGCACUCUAGUGGGACCGCUAGUGAUAAGCUAGAGGAAGGUGGGGAUGACGUCAAAUCCUCACGCCCCUUAUGUCCAGGGCUACACACAUGCGACAAUGGUACGGACAGCAGGAUGCAAUGGAGCGAUCCGGAGCAAACCCCCGAAA